GGGAACAGUCUGGAGGUCAGAGGGUCACCCCCUUAGAAGCCUGUACUGAAUACUGGGGGUGGGGGGGUGCAGUCCCAACCCCAAGGCCCAAGAUGCCAUCUCCAGAGACCACACCCUCACUGGGGCUCUGGAGGCUGCACCCUCCCCCACGGCCCCUGCAGGCUCCUGGAUACCUCGCUGCUGCGGCAGCAGGGGUGGGGAGCACGUGGGUAUGAGGGGCGUGGGAUCUAGUAAGGUGGCCGUCUUUUCCUUGUCACUUGCACGGGGCAGGGGCCCUGGGGAAGAUCCGAUGCACCCCACCGUCACCCACCAGACCUGGCCCAGAGAAGAGACUGAGUCUUCUGGGUGAACAGGACCCAGAUUCUCAGCCUGUAACCCCUAGAAGGGGAGUGUGUGGCUGUUCUACAUCCUGUCUUUCAUGUGCCCUAGGGUCCCCACGCGUCCCUGCCUCUGCCCUUGCACACCCUGGAAUGCUCUUCUGGCCUGCCAACCUCCGGGCCGCACAUGCCCAGAUGAGUUGCCAUUGUCAGUUUGUCUGAUUCUCCUCACCAGGACAGGAAGUGGGUCCUGCCGAUCUCUGUGCUCCCAGCCUCCUGAGUGCUAGUAUAACAGGCCCGUGCCACCGAUCCAGCACUUAUGUCUUCUGUGAAGUGGGCUUCUUCUUCCUGUCCUCGGCUCCUGUCCUCUCUUGAAGAUGGUGAAAGUAUUUGAAGCUCUCAGAAAAAAGGGACACAGUCACCGCACUCUCCGCCAUUGUGCCCUUCCUUCACCGAGAGAGAAUUUGCCAAACAGCAUGCCCGGCACGAAGAACAUGCUCAGGAAACCUCAGUGGAAUCCGUGACGAACAGAUGGAUGGAUGUACGCAUGAAUAUUUUAUUGACAGCGAUUGAAAGAAUGGGUGGAUGGAAGAAAAAGCACACUUCAGGACCGUGGAGUGAAAGAUGAAUCGAACUGGGGUCGUUGCAUUUGCGAGGCCGGCACUGGAAACACUGAGCUAAGUCCCGGCCCCUCACUUCUCUCUCUUCCGCCACCCUGCUCUCCACUUGGCCUUGCUUGCUCUCUCCCCUCUCCCCAGUCCCCACACAACUCAGAAGCCCUCGUGGCUGUGAGCUUCUGCAGUGAGGAUGGCAGGACGGAAGGCUGGGAAGGAGGUGGGUGGGGUGCGCCCUGGCCACUGGCCCGGUCCGGUCGGGAUGGGCUGCUCUGAAAGCGCUGAGUGUGGAGACAGGAAAAGUAAACACCUCCACUCAGGCCCCGCCGGCCUGUGGCGAGAGGGGAGCAGGGGCGGGGGACCUCCCAGCCCCCAACCCGUGCUCUCUGCUCUCCUGAGGGUCCCCUCGGCCUGUGUGUCCAGAGGAGAGUGGGAUAGAGGGCUUGGAGACCGCCCUGGAGGGGACACCUUCCCUCCAGUCUGACCCUGCUUCUCUACCCACGCCAGCUGGAGCCUUCCCGCCCAGAGGUGCCGGGAAACCGUGGGCCUGCGGAGGGCGGUCUGGCACCUGAGGGCUGCCCGGCCACGCCUUAUGCACAGCGGCAGCCAGGUGGGCGUCUCUGUGCCACCGCCUCACCCUAGCACUGCGUCCCGUCCCGUCCUGGGCUGAGGGGCCCCCCAAAUCCUCUGGCCGCCUUCGGGUAGGAGGGGAGGCCUCCUGCCCACCCAGAACUCCGCCAUGCCCAGCUGCCUGCUGCCCACUCGAGAGAGAAGCCGGCUGACCGUGGAGGCCCUGAGCUCCAGCCCGUGUGGCCCUGCACCAGCCGCUUGCUUCCUGGAGCCCCUGCGCAUCAGGUCCUGCCCAGUGUGCCCAGAGGCCGCGUCUGGCAGUUGGUCCGGCCUGGGUGAAACCAGGAGAGCAGUGAGCAGCGAAUGGUAGAAUUGCCAGGGCCCAGCACUGUCUUCUCAGCCCAGCCCUUUGUCUGCUGCUUUGUGAUGGGAUAUGCCCGGCCUGGUGGAGCACACCUGACAUUCCGGCACUCAAGAGGCUGAGGCAGGAGGAUUGUCAUGAACUCAAGUCCAGCCUGGGCUAUACAAUAAGUUCCAGGCUCGCCUGAACUACACAGCAAGACUGUCUCAAAAAAUAAAAACAAAUCAAGGACACAGGAGGCAUCAUUCUUACCCCCACUUUCCCCCUUUGGCGUUGGAGUCUGACAGGUAAAAUCCCUUGCCCCAGGCCAGGAAGCAGGGAGCAGGGAAGCUGGUGUCUGCAGCCCAGGCUGAUCAGAGCCACCUGAGGAGGAAUCUGCUUGUAAACACCUGGAAAGUACAGAACAGAGCCCCGACACGCGGCCAACUCAGCAUCUGGGCUGGGCGGGCAGUAAUGCCAUCCCUCUGUUUGCCCAUUUCACAGAUGAGGCUCGAGAAGCCCAGGCCAGGGUGAGAGGGAGAGAAAGAGAGAGAGGCUAGAUCAGGUGCUCAGGGGAACUUGGACGGCACCUUGGAAGGAGCUUCCAGAGCAACCAGGGCUGGCCACAUGCAGCCUGACAGGUGACUUGGGCUCUCUCUAAUUUCCUUCCUGCUUCCUUUUCUUCUUUUAAUGUUUUUGGUUUUUAUGAGACAGGACCUCACUAGGUAGCUCAGGCUGGCCUGUAGCCUGGGCUCGCCUCCAACUCACCUCCUGCCUCAGCCUCUGGAGAACUGGAAUCACAGGCUGUGCCACCACCAUGCGGAGCUUCCUGGUUUCCCCUUCUGUACAAUAAAAAUAUUCCCUACAUCAGAGGGUUCUUGUGGAAAUGAAACUAGAGGACAUGUUUAACGCGUUUAGCGUGGUGCCUGGCGCACAGCAAGCGGUUAAGGGCAGCUGUUAUUACGGCAGGGCCUCUGAACAGGAGGGCCGUUGUCCCUUGGAACCUUGGCGCUCACCUGGGUUCACCUGAGGACAGGCCGGGGUGGGGAGGGGGUAGCAGUGAGAGGUGUGGGGACAGCAAUACCUGGUCAACUCGGGGCCCAGCCAGGGGGCUCCCGCGGGCGAGGGGAGAGCAGAAGGGACAGCGCCGCCGGGAGGAGGCCGAAGGGGCCUCCCGGGCCCGAGGAGUUAACUGCUUCCAGGCCCUGGCCCAGCGGAGCUGCCACGCUGCAACCGAGCAAGGAUUUUAGCGGAGGAGCCAGGGCUGCUUCCUGAUGGGCAAAACAGCUGGCUGCCCAGGGAAAACAGCUGGCCUGGUCCCAGCCUCCUGCGAGCUGAGCUGAGGCACAGCCUCAGAGGAGGCCGGCUCCACAUCUGGGGUCCUGCAGGGGGAGGGCACAGCCACAGGGGGAGGGUGGUCCUGGGAGUGUGUGGGUGCUGGACCCCCGGAGAUGCCAGGGGCAUGGGUGGGCAGAGUCCUAGGCAGAGGCCAGGGUGUGCUUCAUCUUUGCUUCUGGCCAGGCUGCCUCCAAAUGGGACUAGGGGGUCUCCGUGUUCCCUCUUAUAGGAAAGAUGGGGGACAAGGGUGCCUAGGAAGGACAAGCCUCUCUCAGUCCCAGAACUGAGCUCGAAAAAGAGAUGGGAGAGUGCCUGGGCUGGGCUUCUGGAUUCCCGACUGCCGAGGACACCCAGAACGAGGAACGAGCUGAGCUUCCUGGGCCACAAGACAGGACGGCGGCCCAGAGCCCCCACCUUGGGCAGCAUGAAGCUGGCGACUGCUCUUUCCAUCUCAAGCCAGUUGCAAAAGCCAUCCUGAUUCCUUACUCUGUCUCCACAUCCAACCUCACAAGCUCCCACCACCACCAUUUCGAUCUCAGCUCUGCCCACUGGAGCCAUCUCUGUGCUGGAGUCUCUGGCUUCCAUCCUCGGUCUCCUGUCCGCCUUCUGAGCACUCCAGCAGCAGAGACUCCAGGGACCUGGAGUUCUUCCUGCACAGGCUCCUACUCGGGAAACACCUGCUGUGCGCGUGGGUCGCACAGGAUCCACGCAGGGCUGUGUCACCUGCACGUGACAUCAGCCGUGGUGUCCCAGAGGAGGUUAUGCUGAAGCUGCGGAGCCGGGAGGGCAGGAAUUUUCCUGGAAGCGAGAGACCAGGCCAGACACAGGGACCGGGAGACAACAACACGGUGGUCGGAGGGAGGCUGUGAAACGGGACGUGUUCUGGAAACUGGGAACUGUCCAGUGUGACAGGCCAGAAGGUGAGAGGUGGGAUCCAAGGAGCGGACGCCAAGAGCAGGCUGUGGAGGGCCUGGCUGCCCCUGGAGGGCCCGGCGCUGUGUGCUGAGUGCUGGCAGUGUCCAGGGAGAGAUCCUAGCAGUGGCGGCAGCGGCAGGCAGUGUCUGGUGCUUGGUAAGAUCUGAGGGGCGGGGGCAGCUGUGGAGGAGAGGGGGGCCGUGGGUGUGCAGGAGGUGCUGGGAGGCCGACUGGACGGGGCGCUGCAGGGGGGGUUCUGCUCCUGACAGGUGGCCUGUGGGUCCGGCAGGCAAUGGUGCAGGUCUAGUUUCUGGCAGAGGGAGCAACCCAUGCACUCACCACAGAGCGGUGGGGGCUCGGGCCCCCUGGAAGUGUCACCCAGGGGAGUGGCUGGAGGACACCGGUCCCAGCAGGAGCUGCCUUGACCUGGGUCAACAGUGAGCAGAGGCAAAACGGAGUAGGUCCAGAUUCUCUGCUCAGAAGCUUGAGGGGAGAGACAGGGCAGCCCAGAAGAGAGCAGGGCUGGGGAUACCAGGAGGGCACGGGCCGCACGAGGCCCCCCGCUGUUCUCUGGGUGGGGACUCUGCAGCAGACGGGCAGGACCGGGAGGAGAAGCUGGCUUAGUGCCUCAAGGGAAGAGAGCUUGGGGCUUUCUCCAGAAAGCGGCAGGCGACCCUUGUGGCACGGAGGGGAUGGGCUGGGGGCUCAGGAAGACCCAGGGCAUUUGAAACACUGCUGAGGAGAGGAUGCAGGGAGCACAGGAAACAGACCUGAGGGGCUGGAGGAAGCCCAGCGGAGGGUGAAGAUGAGCGCUCCAACCCGCUGGGAGGCAGACUGGCUGUGGGGAGGGAGCAGGGAAGGGAGGGGUUGGAGGGAGGAGAGGAGGAGCCUGUAGGAGCUGCAGAAAUACCUUAGAUCAGGCUGGGGCUUUAGCUCAGUGGUUCCACCCACCUGCCUUGUAAGCACAAGGACCCGA